rnacentral:lncRNA from 1 species
ACCAUCUAAAUAAUCUAAAGGCGAGUAAAGGGAGACAAUUAACAAUAAUUCAUUUCAGCAAAUUUUUCACAACACGAAUAUUCAUUUCAACCAAAUAAUCAAUAUGGCUUGUGAAUUUCUCAAAACUUGGCUCAUGCCAAAUCCUAUACUCAAGGACACCUGGACCAGGGGUAUCCAACCAAGUCCGCCAAGGUUGUGAAAAAUUUUAUAUAAUCAUAAAACUUGUUUUUAUUUAAA